rnacentral:misc_RNA from 1 species
GAUGAAGAACGCAGCGAAAUGCGAUACGUAAUGUGAAUUGCAGAAUUCAGUGAAUCAUCGAAUCUUUGAACGCAUAUUGCGCUCUCUGGUAUUCCGGAGAGCAUGCUUGUUUGAGUAUCAGUAAACACCUCAACUCCCUUUUCUUUUUUGAAAUGGGAGCUGGACUUGAGUGAUCCCAACACUUUUCUCACUGGAAAGUGGCGGGUCACUUGAAAUGCAGGUGCAGCUGGACUUUUCUCUGAGCUAUAAGCAUAUCUAUUUAGUCUGCCUAAAAAACAGAUUAUUACCUUUGCUGCAGCUAACAUAAAGGAGAUGAGUUCUUGUGCUGACUGAUGCAGGAAUCACAGAGACAGCUUUGCGGCUGACUUUGUAAACUCGAUCUCAAAUCAAGUAAGACUACCCGCUGAACUUAAGCAUAUCAAUAAGCGGAGGA